GAUGAACGCUGGCGGCGUGCCUAAUACAUGCAAGUCGAGCGAACGGACGAGAAGCUUGCUUCUCUGAUGUUAGCGGCGGACGGGUGAGUAACACGUGGAUAGCCUACCUAUAAGACUGGGAUAACUUCGGGAAACCGGAGCUAAUACCGGAUAAUAUUUUGAACCGCAUGGUUCAAAAGUGAAAGACGGUCUUGCUGUCACUUAUAGAUGGAUCCGCGCUGCAUUAGCUAGUUGGUAAGGUAACGGCUUACCAAGGCAACGAUGCAUAGCCGACCUGAGAGGGUGAUCGGCCACACUGGAACUGAGACACGGUCCUGACUCCUACGGGAGGCAGCAGUAGGGAAUCUUCCGCAAUGGGCGAAAGCCUGACGGAGCAACGCCGCGUGAGUGAUGAAGGUCUUCGGAUCGUAAAACUCUGUUAUUAGGGAAGAACAUAUGUGUAAGUAACUGUGCACAUCUUGACGGUACCUAAUCAGAAAGCCACGGCUAACUACGUG
rnacentral:rRNA from 1 species